UGCCGGUUUCUGCUUGAUCCACACGUGUUUUGCGCGACUCGUAUAGUUUAUCCGGAGUUCUACUUUCCAAUUCGUAUUAUAUUUGAUUAUCAAUCGAUGAUUUUAUUUUUACUUGACUUUAGUAAAUUUAGUACAGUUAUUUAUUAUGUGCGCGUAAGUGUUCAUGGCCAUGUUGAUUUAUUCAUUAUUUGGAUGACCCAUCGUGCUGAUUAUUUACCGAGGCUUGGAGUCUGAUGUUCUGCAUUAAUUGUACUUUCUAUGAUUACUUGAUGCACUGGUAAGUUUGUAAACGUUAUUACAUUAUACUUUCAUAUUUAUCUAAAAUUGCAUGUAACGUGAAUACCGUAACAACACAAAAUUGAUGCGUGCCGUCGGAUGCGACUUGGAUCUACCCGCAGAGUAUGGUCAUGUCAAUCAUCGGUUUAAUAACGUGAAAUUUUCCUUGCUCGCAUUUUUAUUUUUAUUUCCUAAAUCUGCGGCUCUUUAACGUAUUUUCGUAAUUUUGCAAUUAAUUAUUGAGAGUAAAAUAUUUGUAAAAUGUUUGUAAAAUGUAGCAAUUUUCUUCUUGUAUCACCCUAUGUUCUACUUUACCAUGCGUUCUAGUGUAAAACUGACUAAAUUUGUCGUUUCUGGGUCGUUUUCUACUUAAACUUUGUAUUUUAUUUUUAAAUUUAGGAAUUUCCUGUUUGUAUCACCCUGUAUGUUUGUUUUUCUUGAUUUUCUUUUUUGUACUAUUGAUUUUCUUCUUGUGAUGUAGUAAUUUCCUUUUUGUAGCACCCUGUAUAUUUGUUUUUCUUGUUGUUCGUGAAAAUUUAGCUUUAGUUGUUGUUUUAGGUUUUUCUUCUUUGCACUUUGAAUUUUCUAUUUGUAACACCUUGUAUAUUUUUUCCCAUUUUCACUCACGUAGAAAAUGGUCUAUUUCCUAAUUUCUUCAUCCCGGUAGUACUUUGCGAAGUGUAACUUGCUUGCAUGUGCGCGGCUAUGCAGGUCGUAAGUCCUGUUUCAAUAUGGCGACAUGUAUUCUGUUGACUUGUAAAAUAUAAACUUGUAUUCUAUUGUUAAUAAAGAAAUAGUAAAAUAUA